rnacentral:rRNA from 1 species
CCUACGGGUGGCAGCAGUGGGGAAUAUUGCACAAUGGGGGAAACCCUGAUGCAGCGACGCCGCGUGAGUGAAGAAGUAUUUCGGUAUGUAAAGCUCUAUCAGCAGGGAAGAAAAUGACGGUACCUGAUCACGAAGCCCCGGCUAACUACGUGCCAGCAGCCGCGGCAAUACGUAGGGGGCGAGCGUUAUCCGGAUUUACCGGGUGUAAUGGGAGCGUAGACGGCAGCACAAGUCUGGAGUGAAAUGCCGGGGCUUAACCCCGGGACUGCUGUGGAAACUGGGCAGCUAGAGUUCAGGAGAGGUAAGUGGAAUGCCUGGUGUAGCGGUGAAAUGCGUAGAUAUUAGGAGGAACACCAGUGGCGAAGGCAGCUUACUGGACUGUAACUGACGUUGAGGCUCGAAAGCGUGGGGAGCAAACAGGAUUAGAUACCCCGGUAGUC